rnacentral:ncRNA from 1 species
UAUUUUAAUUUAUUAUAUAAUUUAAAUAUAAAUAAAAAUAUUAUUAAAAAUUGAAAAAUUUAAAUAAUUUUUAAUUUUAUCUUUAAUGUUUAUAAUAAUAAUUUUAAAUGAAAAUUUAAUAUAGAAAAUUAUAUUUAUUAUUAAUAAAUUAUAGUGCCAGCAAUUGCGGUUAUACUAUAGAUAAAAGUAAAUUUUAUAUAAUUAAUUAAUAUUUAAGUAUUAAAUUAUUUUAAAUUAAAAAAAAUAAUUUUUUAUGGUGAAAUAUAAAAAUUAAUAUAUUUUAUAAAAUUAUGUAUUAUUUAAAUUAUUUAAAUUUUUUUAAUUAACUAGGAUUAGAUACCCUAUUAUUAUUAUAUAAAAAUUAAUUUAAUUAAAUAUUAAAUGUGUUGAUCAUUAAAAAUAAAAAAUUUGGCGGUAUUUUAUUUAAUUAAAGGAAUUUGUUAAUUAAUUUGAUAGUCCACGAAUGGAUUUACUUAAUUAUUGUUUUAUGUAUUGUUGUUGUUAAAUUAUAUUAUUAGAUAUUAAUUUAAAUAUUUUAGUUAAAUAUUAAUUCAAAUCAAAAUGUAGAAUAAUUAAGGUUUUAAUGAAUUACAAUUAAUUUUAUUAAUGGAAAUUAAAUUUUAAUAUUUAAUUUAAAUUGGAUUUAAAUGUAAUUUUAUAAAAAUAUAUAAAUUGAAUUUUAUUUAAAUUAUGUACAAAUUGCCCGUCAUUUUCAUUUCAACUGUGAAAAAAGUCGUAACAAAGUAAGUGUACUGGAAAGUGUAUUUAGAUUUUA